AUACGGAGGGGGUUAGCGUUGUUCGGAAUUACUGGGCGUAAAGCGCGCGUAGGCGGAUUGGAAAGUUGGGGGUGAAAUCCCGGGGCUCAACCUCGGAACUGCCUCCAAAACUCCCAGUCUUGAGUUCGAGAGAGGUGAGUGGAACUCCGAGUGUAGAGGUGAAAUUCGUAGAUAUUCGGAAGAACACCAGUGGCGAAGGCGGCUCACUGGCUCGAUACUGACGCUGAGGUGCGAAAGUGUGGGGAGCAAACAGGAUUAGAUACCCUGGUAGUCCACACCGUAAACGAUGAAUGCCAGACGUCGGCAGGCAUGCCUGUCGGUGUCACACCUAACGGAUUAAGCAUUCCGCCUGGGGAGUACGGCCGCAAGGUUAAA
rnacentral:rRNA from 1 species